UACGAAGGGGGCUAGCGUUGUUCGGAAUUACUGGGCGUAAAGCGCGCGCAGGCGGCUAUCCAAGUCAGUGGUGAAAGCCCGGAGCUCAACUCCGGAACUGCCAUUGAAACUGUUUAGCUUGAGGAUGAGAGAGGUGAGUGGAAUUCCCAGUGUAGAGGUGAAAUGCGCAGAUAUCAGGAGGAACACCGAUGGCGAAGGCAGGUCUCUGGGCCGCUACUGACGCUGAGAAGCGAAAGCAUGGGGAGCGAACAGG
rnacentral:rRNA from 1 species